CGGCCUCGAGGGGUCCCCCCCACACUUGUGGGGCGUGGAAGGACCAACAGCUGGAACUCAUCACUCAUCCUUCGCAGCUCCCGGCCAUAUUUCCGUGCUGCCCAUAGGACGGGGGGGCAGAGCGGGAACGGCCUCGAAAUGUGGGGGGGGGGUCCCCACCUCCUGACCCCCCCCCUCCACCUUCUGUGGGAGUGGCAGCGGGGCUGGAACCAGAGCUGCCCCCCCAGGGGGAUUCGGGGGGGUCCCGGUGGCAGGGGCCAGGCAGGGGUGGGGGCUGCGGCUCCUCCGGGAACUCCUCAAUGCUAAACAUGGUCAGGGCAUGGUGGCCCCAAAUUCUCCCCCCCGGGUCCCUUUUACCCCUCCCCCAACCUCCACUCCACCGCCGCUCCGCGUCUUUCUGCACUUCCG
rnacentral:lncRNA from 1 species